rnacentral:lncRNA from 1 species
CGCCGCCCCCGCACGGCGCGGCCGGGAGGACGGGGCGGGACGAGCGCGAGGGGUCCGCGGGGAACGCCGGGGGUUCCCGAAGCCCGAGCGGGCCGCGCCUCAAGGAUGGCCUGAAGGAGGGCCUGCCCGCCGCUCUGCGUGCUGCUGCGCUGCUGCCGGCCGGCCCGCGAACGCUGCUCCCUCGCUGCUUUACUUCAGGCACCGAGGCGCGGCGGAUCCCGGGGCGGAUGGGACCUGCAAGGCAGUGGUUUGCUUGUAUCCAUACCUUGGAGAAAGGGGUCCAUCUCAGGAUUGGCACUCUUCAACAUCUUCAUCAACAACACAGAUGAUGGCAUUGAGUGCACCCUCAUCAGUUUGCUGAUGGCACUGAGCCGAGUGCUGCAGUGGAUCCAACAGGAGGAAGGGACGCCAUCCAGAGGGACCUGGGCGGGCUCACAGAGGGGGACCACGUGAACCCAAUGAGGUUCAACAAAGCCAAACACAGGGUGCUGCACUUGGGUUGGAGCAAUCCUGGGCAUGAGUACAGAUGUGAGAAGAACUCCUGGAAAGCAGCACUGCGGAGAAGGACUUGUUGGUUCUGACAGCACGUCUGGCAGCACUACGCCAUGACCCAGCUGUGGGCAUCCCUGUCUCCACUUCUUGAGGUGCCUCGCAUCUCUUUAACUUUUUUGUGCAAAAAAAACUGCUCAGAAGGCCCACUGCUAAUUAAUUCUUCUUAAUUCUCUUUCAACUAUCAUAUCCCACAGCACCAUUUAUAUCAUUUUAUUUAUGACUCUGUUAGAUUAGAGGACCUGGACUUCCCAUCUUCAUGCUUUCUUUUCACACAUGUAAGUAAGGUGUUAGAUUUAUUCCCCUGGAGCUUCUGUAGGAUUCCUUGACUACUGAUGCUAAUUGCUCAGUGACUUUCUUAACUAUAAAACACUUGGGUACACACUAUUAAUUCCUGCAGAUAAAAAAUAAAAAGAAGUUGAU